rnacentral:snRNA from 1 species
GUCGGGGGAAACCCGUCU